rnacentral:rRNA from 1 species
GACGUAGGGUGCGAGCGUUGUCCGGAUUUAUUGGGCGUAAAGAGCUCGUAGGCGGCUCGUCGCGUCGACCGUGAAACCCCCGCAGCUUAACUGCGGGCCUGCGGUUGAUACGGGCGGGCUAGAGUUCGGUAGGGGAGACUGGAAUUCCUGGUGUAGCGGUGAAAUGCGCAGAUAUCAGGAGGAACACCGAUGGCGAAGGCAGGUCUCUGGGCCACUACUGACGCUGAGAAGCGAAAGCAUGGGGAGCGAACAGG